rnacentral:rRNA from 1 species
UCAAAGAUUAAGCCAUGCAUGUCUCAGUACAAGCCGAAUUAAGGUGAAACCGCGAAAGGCUCAUUAAAUCAGUUAUGGUUCCUUAGAUCGUACCAACAAUUACUUGGAUAACUGUGGUAAUUCUAGAGCUAAUACAUGCAAACAGAGCUCCGACCGGAGACGGAAGGAGCGCUUUUAUUAGAUCAAAACCAAUCGGUGGCGGGUUCGCGCUCGUCGCCGCACAAUUUGGUGACUCUGAAUAACUUUACGCUGAUCGCACGGUCAUCGCGCCGGCGACGCAUCUUUCAAAUGUCUGCCUUAUCAACUGUCGAUGGUAGGUUCUGCGCCUACCAUGGUCGUAACGGGUAACGGGGAAUCAGGGUUCGAUUCCGGAGAGGGAGCCUGAGAAACGGCUACCACAUCCAAGGAAGGCAGCAGGCGCGCAAAUUACCCACUCCCGGCACGGGGAGGUAGUGACGAAAAAUAACGAUACGGGACUCAUCCGAGGCCCCGUAAUCGGAAUGAGUACACUCUAAACCCUUUAACGAGGAUCAAUUGGAGGGCAAGUCUGGUGCCAGCAGCCGCGG